rnacentral:lncRNA from 1 species
CCAAGAUGGCACCAGGCAUUUGGAACCAGUUGCUGUAAGAAAUAACAAAACACAGAAUGGCUCAAACGCAGUAGAAGUUGAGUCAACUGAGUCUAAGUUCUACUACUCACCAGCGGGUCCUGGGCCACAAGGAACUGAACCUGCAGCAGCCAUGUGAGCUUGGAAGAGGAUCCUUCCCCCUUCGUGCUUUCGGAUGAGACCUCAGUUCUGAUGACACAGCGCCGACAGCCUCAGCAGAGACCUUGAAGCAGAGCCCCCGGCUAAGUCAUGCCUGGAUUCCUGACCCACAGAGACUGCGAGAUAAUAAAUGUGUGUUCUCUAACCACCA